UACGUAGGGUGCGAGCGUUGUCCGGAUUUAUUGGGCGUAAAGGGCUCGUAGGCGGCCUGUCGCGUCGGGAGUGAAAGCCCACUGCUUAACGGUGGGUCUGCUUCCGGUACGGGCGGGCUGGAGUAUGGCAGGGGAGACUGGAAUUCCUGGUGUAGCGGUGGAAUGCGCAGAUAUCAGGAGGAACACCGAUGGCGAAGGCAGAUCUCUGGGCCGUAACUGACGCUGAGAAGCGAAAGCAUGGGGAGCGAACAGG
rnacentral:rRNA from 1 species